AUCCAGCUGACAAGUCCCAAAUAAGACGAAACACACGUUCUGGAU
rnacentral:hammerhead_ribozyme from 1 species